AUACGUAGGGUGCAAGCGUUAAUCGGAAUUACUGGGCGUAAAGCGUGCGCAGGCGGUUUUGUAAGACAGAGGUGAAAUCCCCGGGCUCCACCUGGGAACUGCCUUUGUGACUGCAAGGCUAGAGUACGGCAGAGGGGGAUGGAAUUCCCCGGGGAGCAGUGAAAUGCGUAGAUAUGCGGAGGAACACCGAUGGCGAAGGCAAUCCCCUGGGCCUGCACUGACGCUCAUGCACGAAAGCGUGGGGAGCAAACAGGAUUAGAUACCCUGGUAGUCCACGCCCUAAACGAUGUCAACUGGUUGUUGGGGAUUUAUUUUCUCAGUAACGAAGCUAACGCGUGAAGUUGACCGCCUGGGGAGUACGGCCGCAAGGUUAAAACUCAAAGGAAUUGACGGGG
rnacentral:rRNA from 1 species